CCCUACGGGGCGCAGCAGGCGCGAAAACUUUACAAUGCGGGAAACCGUGAUAAGGGAACUCCGAGUGCCCGUAAAAUCGGGCUGUCCAUCUGUGUAAAUAACAGGUGAAGAAAGGGCCGGGCAAGACCGGUGCCAGCCGCCGCGGUAAUACCGGCGGCUCGAGUGGUGGCCACUAUUACUGGGCUUAAAGCGUUCGUAGCUGGUCUGUUAAGUCUCUGGGGAAAUCUACUGGCUUAACCAAUAGGCGUNUCAGGGAUACUGGCAGACUAGGGACCGGGAGAGGUGAGAGGUACUCCAGGGGUAGGAGUGAAAUCCNGUAAUCC
rnacentral:rRNA from 1 species